rnacentral:rRNA from 1 species
UCUGGUUGAUCCUGCCAGUAGUCACACGCUUGUCUCAAAGAUUAAGCCAUGCAUGUCUAAGUUUAGCGAUUAAACUGUGAAACUGCGUACGGCUCAUUAUAUCAGUAAUAAUCUACUUGGUAUUGAACUGUAGAUGGAUACGGGCAGUAAUUCUGGAACUAAUACAUGCGUGAAGGCUCGACUUUUUGGAAGGGCUGCAUUUAUCAGAUUGAAACCAAUGCUUUUGGUGAUUCAUGGUAACUAAGCGAAUCGCAGUGGGUUCGACCCGGCGAUGAAUCAAUCGAGUUUCUGCCCCAUCAGUUGUCGAUGGUAGUGUAUUGGACUACCAUGACCGUCACGGGUGACGGGGAAUUAGGGUUCGAUUCCGGAGAGGACGCCUGAGAGACGGCGACCACAUCCAAGGAAGGCAGCAGGCGCGAAAAUUACCCAAUGUUAAUUCAACGAGGUAGUGACGAGAAAUAACGAUGAGGAGCGCUUUUGCGUUUCUCGAUCGGAAUGAGUGCAAUCUAAAACCCUCAACGAGGAUCCACUGGAGGGCAAGUCUGGUGCCAGCAGCCGCGGUAAUUCCAGCUCCGGUAGCGUAUGCUAAAGUUGUUGCAGUUGAAAAGCUCGUAGUUGAACUUCUGGCAGGUGCGGCCGGGCCUUUGCAUGAACUUGCACUGAUUGCCUGUGUCGCGCUAGCCUUUUUUCCGUUGUCAUUUGGCGGCGGUCGUUUACUGUAAAAAAAUUAGAGUGUUUCACGCAGGGCGUAGGCCCGGAACAUAAUAGUAUGGAAUAAUUAGAGAGGGCUCGUGCGCUAUUUUGUUGGUUUGUACGCAAGAGUAAUGAUUAAUAGGGACAGUUGGGGGUAUUCGUAUUUAGAUGUCAGAGGUGAAAUUCUUGGAUUUUCGAAAGACGAACGACUGCGAAAGCAUUUAUCAUGGAUGUUUUCAUUAAUCAAGAACGACAGUCUGGGGAUCGAAGAUGAUUAGAUACCAUCGUUGUCUAGACAGUAAACUAUGCCGACUUGCGACUGUCCGUUGUUGUUAAUGACAUGGGCAGCAGCACAUGAGAAAUCAAAGUUUUUGGGUUCCGGGGGGAGUAUGGUCGCAAGGCUGAAACUUAAAGGAAUUGACGGAAGGGCACCACCAGGAGUGGAGCCUGCGGCUUAAUUUGACCCAACACGGGAAAACUUACCAGGUCCAGACACAGAAAUGAUUGACAGGUUGAUAGCCCUUUCUUGAUUCUAUGGGUGGUGGUGCAUGGCCGUUCUUAGUUGGUGGUCUGAAUUGUCUGGUUGGUUCCGUUAACGAACGAGACCUCAGCCUACUAAAUAGCACGUCGAAUGGCGACAUUGGAUGAGGCUUCUUAGAGGGACUCUUCGGGUUUACCGGAGGGAAGUUUGAGGCAAUAACAGGUCUGUGAUGCCCUUAGAUGUUCUGGGCCGCACGCGCGCUACACUGAUCGGUUCAACGGGCUUUGCUUUCGAGCAUGUCCUUGGCCGGAAGGCCUGGGUAAUCCUUUAAAUGCCGAUCGUGAUGGGGCUAGAUUUUUGCAAUUAUUAAUCUCCAACGAGGAAUUCCUAGUAGACGCAAAUCAUCAGUUUGCAUCGAUUACGUCCCUGCCCUUUGUACACACCGCCCGUCGCACCUAC